GUUGGAUCCGCCACCUUUCAAAAUAACAUUGUGCAGUUAUCGCCCUUACGGUGGAGCUCUUCUUAUCAAUGCGAUAUCAACACUGGAAGACUCACUCUGAGAAGAAUUUUGUGAAUUUACAGCGGAUUAUAUAUAGAACUUGCCUGCAACUCUCCUGAAACCCUCCUUUACUUUAGUAGCCAUCUCUCCGACCGGAAACUUUAUGUAAUCGGAGAAAACAUCAACAACGGCCCUUGCUACAGAUUUGACCGCUCUUCCAGCUGAGGAUUCGGACACGUUCAGACUAUCUCCAAUGAGUCUCAGGUGGGCCCCCGUGGCAACGAAACGCAAAAAUAGUAGAACUUGAAUCAGAGGAGGAAUAGGGCGGUUCCUGACAGUGUCUGUCUCCAGGCGAUUACCAACUCCAUUCAAAAUGAAAACAAUACUUUCUGGUGAAAAGCGGUAUCUUUGGAAGAUUUCAUCCUCCUCCAGACUCUCAAGAGGAUUACUAAGGUCCCGAAAUACCCGAGGUCGUCUUAAAAUGCGCCGAUUUUGUCUCCGCUGACGUCUGCGUCUGAUCAUAGCAGCCAUUUUUAAUGUUUGAGAACGUUCUUAAGUCUGCAUUUUUGUAGACUCAAAUAUUUGAGAAUAAAACUGAUUUUGAGAAUUUUUUUUGUGCUCAACCUUUUUAUGACGGCCGCUGAGUCUGAGAAUGGGGAAGUUGAGAACAUUCUCAGACUUGAGAAUAUUCUCAGACUUAAGUAUGUUUUAUGACGGCGGGGCCUGGUCUCAAAGCAAUCGUUAUACUUAUUUAACAACCAUGACUAGUAUCAAAUUCUUCAUACGGUUCCUCAUUGUCAACUGUCACGAAAACCUCUGUUUUAAGGUCUCAUCCGAAGGACCCAUGACCUUCUCUUCUUUCUGGCGAACACUUGGCGAUGAAGUAAUUACUGCUCAAGUUAAAGGAUUCUGUUCUAGCAUGUCUUGACACCAUAAAGCAUUUAGAUAAUCAAUGUACAGAUGUUUCAGCUUAGUUGUUUAGUGAAGUACGUAAUUUUUCUGUUUUAGGAAUUAUAAAUACUGCAAAACUUCAUAGAGUUAGGUUCCCAUAUGAUCUUUCGAGAGUAGUUGACAAUUUCCAUGCGACACUUACAAAGGAACUCUGUUCAUCCCCGGAAAAUGCUGUCUUUCUUCCCAGAAAACUGGAAGUUCGUUCAAGCGACGAACCUCGUAUCCUUCUGCAGUAUCACGCUUCUUGUCAAAAAACAACAGAAAGCACAAGGGGCGAGAAAACAAUAGAAAGCACAAGGGUGGGGAAACAGUGACCAUUCUCUGACCUUCAACCAAGGACAAAUUAAAAGAAUAACCUUAUAAAAUUUUAACUGAAUAUGUUUAUUUUCCUAUCGUUGUGUUUUAAUUUCUUUUACAUUAUAUAAUAUAUUUCAGUCAAAAAGAAUGAUUUAAUUUGUAAAUCAGUGUAGCAUAUGCUUAGGUAAACUUACUAUCUUUUUAUUCAGAAUUAGAUUGUUGUUGUUGUUCAGUAAACCGACAAGAUAUGAUUUGUAUUUAAUGUCAAACCUCUUCAAAUAUAUGUUAUCCCCCCUACAAUUAGGGUUAACAGCACUAAUUUUACAAUAAUAUUGUUCAAAGGGGAAAAAUCAAAGGAUUACUAAUGAAGAAAUCUGUGGCUAAAUCGAAAAAGUUCCGCCAUUUUGAUUCUGAUAGUGUGGUAGACCAUUGUAUUUUAAAAGAUGAGUUACAGAGGUGGGUCUAGAGGAGGGGGUUAUGGGGGUUGUAUAUCAGGCGCGGAUCUAGAGGCGGGGUUACGGCGAUCGUACCUGAGGUGGUGUUACGGGGGUUGUACAUCAGUGGCGGAUCUAGAAGCGGGGUUAUGGGGGUUGUACAUCAGAGGCGGAUCUAGAGACGGGGUUAUGGGAGUUGCCACCAAUCCCUUUGGUCGAAUUAUUUUCAAAAAUGGUAAUUAGUCAUCAGUAGAAUUAUCACGUUAAACAUCACUUUAAGUACAAGCAUUGUAAUGCAAUCAUAUCAUUUAUAUAGUAUUUAUCAUUGUAUGCAUUAUAUAUUUCAUAUUGCUCAUAUUCAAGUAUAAUACCAUCUGGUAGGCAUAAAAAUGUCAAUAAUGUAUACAUGUUGUAAAACAAUUAAAUUUGAUGUGAUAACAUUCUCUACCUCCUAUUGUGCACAGAUUUGUAUUGCAAUUCAAUUUAUUAAAACAUACUGCAUAA